AGAGCCCCCUCCACAGCGGCUCCUGGCUCUAUUGUUUGCGAGGCAAAGAUGUGGUCCGCAGGUCCUCCAGGACGAAGCUGUGGCUUCUCGACGUUCGCCCGCUGCACUGACCACCUUGGAGAUGCACGUGCAGUGCAGCGUCCCACUGGAGAAUGUCGGGAGACUGGGCUAGGAGAGGAGGUGGUGCAGUUGCAGCAGGUUCAAGCGGCCACGCUCUGCAUCGGUGGCGGCAUGAGCUCCGACACUGUGAGGAUCGACGAGUAGGCGAGCCGUAGCCACCCUGGAGAGGACCCAAAUCAGCCCAGUGUCCACCGCCCAGCCUUCUUCUCCUUCCCCAUUUCAUUUUAGCUUCAAUUUCUAUCUCUUGAGGUAAGUCAUUGUUCAGCGAGGAAGGAUUUCUAGAGGUAUUCAACUUUGUGUUGCCCGAAUAAACUUCUGAUUGUUGUUAAAAAUUACUGUUUGGGCCGUGGAGAAUCCCUGCGUCAUGAUUUUUUGGCCGUCAAUAGAGUUUGUUCAUACAUACAGAUGUUUGUUGAGAUGUUGCAGUCGAUAAACAUUGGUGAUGAUGCAUAAAUGUUGGUUGUUCACGUAAGUUUUACCAUGGUUGUGAAGGAAAGCAUUAAUUGAUAAAUUUUCCAGCACAUUUGUGUAGGUGAUACAGUCCUCUUAUUUUCAGUCACUGACCUGAGCCGCAUUUUAUAUAUCUUCAGGGAUGAGCAUCGACAGUAUGGAAUGAAUGGUAGAAUGAUAUUGUACACGAUGCCCGGCUCCGAGCUCUCUGUCCGAUAGGUGGGUCUGGACAACGAUCCAGAGAGAGGUGCUUCUGUCAUGGUAGGCAGGAUGGAUAUCUAGAGAACAAUUUGUCUGUUCAUAUCAGCCAAUAAAACAUGCCAGAAUCUCAAAACUUUUGAUGGAGACUCAAUUAUGAGAGUAGGACAGUAAAUGAAAGGGGUCUCAAUUGGAUUGCGAACCUGUAUGUAGUAUAUUUCUUCGUGGCUGCAGAUUGCAGCAUGCAGUGGUUUUGGAUGUCAUGGUGCCAUGGCUUGAAACCAUAUUGACAACUGAAACAUGCUCUUCAGCUUGCACCUAUACUUCUUUAUAGCUGUUGUGAUCAUAUUUUUGGGUUCUUUUGGGUGAGAAAAAUAUUGCUACGAAUCCAAGUGGAUAUACUUUACAGUUCGGCGAGCCUUGAACUGAUUGUUCUCUUAUGUGAAAUUACAUACCGUGACCAACAACUGUGACCAUGCUUAUGUGUCUAAAUUAAUGAAGUCACCGUGGUUUUACACCACACUAUUGCUAAUGCAAUCUACUUUUCAGUUUUGCUUCUGCUUGCCACCAUUGGCUGCUUAGUACCUAUGAGUUCUCUAAAGUGUGAUUUCCCGGUCUCUUCAACAACAACAUUUGAGUCAUGUCGGUUGUAUCAACUAGCUGAGUUUAUUGUCAUUUCCAGAGUGUUCAUCUUUAGGUGCUAUGUCAGGUAAUUUGUUCCUACAUCUACUUUCUUUUCUGAUUUUAGAUGCUACUUAUUAUUUGUGACUUUGUAUCAAAUGUGACCAUUCUUAUUUGUAGAUCAUUACAUAUAUCCUUUGAUGGAUAUCAGUUCUUCUAUUCACUACGCAAUCCAAUCCUGAGCCUGGGCUAUCAUUUGUAUGCAACAUAUCAGUAAUAUUUUCCAUGUUCGUCAAAUAAUGCACCACCAUUUGGAAUUCUGCGGAUGCAUAAAAUACAUAAUACUUUGCUUUCAGGCAAUGGUGGAGUGCUUACAUUGUUGCCUGGCGUUUAGCAGAAUAGUGGGUUGAUCCAUCUUUGUGUUCACAAGUUUUAUCAGGCAAUGGACUAUGCUUGGUCGCUUAAGAUAUCUACACCGUAUGGUGCCAUCUCAAGGAUAAUUUCUAGGAGAGGGCUAAAGAUCCUUGCGCUUGAUAAUCUCUAGAAGAUCUAUGUCAUAUAUGUAGGUACAUAAUUCAUUGCUCAAUUUGAGAAAUUCCAUUACUAAGUACAGAGCACAAGCUAACUACUCAGUAUUUAUUGCAGGAUCAGGACUAUGUUAAGGGGCUCAAUGAAGUUCCUGCAGCAGAUGGUUACAGAUUUUCGGUGCUAAAAUGAUGUAUGAGAAAUGGAUCCCUUACGAACAUGAUGGACUUAGGCUAGACAGAAGAGCCAUAUAGACAAUGUUCUCCUCUCUAUACUUUUUUAGUUAAUGCGUUAAAGGGUACCUUCUUUAGUUUUGUUCUCUUUGCUGAAUGUUGUUGUACAGGGAUGUAGCGAACAAGUAUAUCUGAAGCCUACCUUUCUAUUUCUUGCUUU